GCUGCUGCUGCUCGGAAAAGCCCUGGGGCGCGAGCUGCUGGCCAAGUCGCUGGCCAGUGCUGGAGCUCAGGCUGUGGCCGACGCUAUGGACGUUGCCGCCGCCGCUGCUACCCGCGCCACUGUUGUUGUGAAGCCCCGACGCCGUCGCUCACUCCGCCAUGUUGCCGCCCCCUGCCUGCGGUAGAGGCCACUGCGCCUGCGCAGAGCCUCAGGAGGCGGAGCUCUCACAGCACCCCCUCGGUCGCCCUGCCCUCCUUCUCCUUCCGCCCACCCACCCCGGCACCCCUAGUCCCUCCCCCAACCACACAACGGAUAGACAGAGGAGGUUCGUCAUCUUCGUAGUUGCAUCCAGCUGCUGCUACUGCCAGGGCCACGUGCCUUGUAAGCCAUGAAAGAGGCUGACAUGACACCUGCUCACACAGGCGCGACUUAAAAUAGAACUUGUCAAACAGUGAUCUCUGGAAAGGGCUCCGAACAGCAAACAGUUUUUAAACUCACCUCCCAGCCUAAAAAAAGCGACUCUUUGUGACACUGUGCGGUAACUAGGUGGGAGCAAUAGAUCAAGCCCUUUUAAAAUCCCCAACGAUCCUCAGGUAUGAUGCUGAUUAAUGAUGCCUCCCUUUUUCAUAGGCAUGCAUGGAGUAGAGGAUGUUUGAAAUUAGUGAAAAAAAAUGAUUUUCACUGCCAGCUUUGAUCCUUAAGUAGAUUUCGGGGUCUACUAGAAGACACCUUACUUUUAAUUUUAAAAAUUAGCGUGUUCUCAGUAAUCUUGCUGCUGGUAUUGAAUUAAAACUAAAUGAGCAUGACUGCUUAUUUCUUUCCCAAAAUGAAGGAUGAAAUUUUCUUGCACUUUUCGUUAAACAUGUAUUACAAGACACCAGAAAUACUAGGUAUCUGGAGGUAUUGUCAAAUCAUUUUAAUUGCCAUCUCAAACAAAAACAAAAAGUCAAUAUGCAAUCCAUUAUAAUCUGGUUUCUUAUUAAUUGUAUUUAAUUGGACCUGCUAGACAAGUUGACUCCCAAGAUAGAGGGACAUGGAAAAAUUCUAAAAUACCACAGGAUAUAAAAAAAGUUCUUUAAAACAAGUGCUUAGGAUUUGCUCUUUGUUGUAUGUUUGUUUAAACUUGUACUGAAGUAGUUAAGCAAAAAAAAUUUAACUGCUGUAUUUAUUUGAGUAGCAAUGGAAUUACUAAAUUCUAAAUUCUAGCAAGGUUGAAACUGUAUGGGAAAUGUUUAAAACAUUUGUCUUAGUGUGGUUUGAGAUACACUGUAAAUGACAAACUGUCACAUUUAUAGCUAUCUACAGCAUUUUUGUCUUUCUCAGGCAUAAAUCUAUUUCUGUGAUAGCUAUUUCAUAUUUCACUGCAUAUUUAAAUGAUACACCUUUUAAAAAUACAUAAAUCCAGAAUGAAAGGUCACCAUAGGUCAUCAUACCAUUUUUUUAUCCUACUAUAAACAUAAACAAAACAUAUAGAAUUUAUAUAAAACACACAUACACACACGGCAUAGGGUUCUACCUCUAUUUUUAGACUUCAUGCAUGACUGUUUUGAAAGACAACCUGAAUUUGUUUUCAUUAUGAAUAAAUAACAUUUUCACAUUUCCGUUUUGUUACUUAAGCAAAUGGUUUUGUUUUUCAUUCAUUUUUCUUUAGUCCAGACAAGUAGAUAAAGAGGAUAACACUAUUUCAAAGUAAGAAAAUCCAUUUCUUUUACAUACUUCACUCAGUUUCAGAGAUUUCUAGAAGAGGCUACCAAUGAAAAUAUUCUCCAGUAGACUUUCAGCUUCUCACAAGCAGGAUGGUACUGUGAAUAGUGCAGAGCUUCGAAUCAUGCUCAUAACUAAGUACCAAUGAAGUCUUCUCAUGCUAUUUGACCUUCACUAUCCUUGUUUCUUUUUUAAAUUAAUUUUAUUGGUACAUUCAGGAUAUACAAUAUAACGACAUUCAUCAUUGGAAAUUGCACCUUUACAUAAUAGUAUCCGUCUCAUAGGGAGGUGAGUAUUCAGUAAAAUAAUUUUUAUUCAGCAGCUAUCAUACACUAAAUUAUGUGUGUCAAGUGACAUAUAAACACAUGUGAAAUAAAGUAUAACCAUGUACAUGUCUUUAUAAUUUCAGUUAUAUGUUUUCAAUAUUAUCUCUAAAUCAUAAAGAUUAGAAAAGAAAACAAGUCUAUUUCCUUUUGGCCUACAAAGCCUAUUUCCCCAGAAAUGUACAAAUAAUUUAGUAUUACAUUCAGAAUAUUUUGAAACAGAAGCUCUAUAAUCACAGAAAACUCCAAAUAUGUUAACUUUCAAAUCUCCAGCAUAAAAACAUGUCAUGUGGUGAAUAUUAAUUUUGUAUACAUUUUUACAUGCUCAUACUUCCAAAAGUAACCCUUCAAAGAUCAGAAGCCCAUGAAUUUCAGUUAUAAGAGGCCGUAUUGCACAGUGAUUGAGAGUACAAGCCCUAGAUUCAACAGAACCUGAGUUGUUCCACCUCCUACUUCUAUACGCCAUCUUGAGCAAAUGACUGAGCUUCACAGCCUCAAUUUACCCAAGCCAGUAUAGGGAUGAUAAUCCAAUUUCCUAAGAUUGAAGCCCCUACUACUGUAAAUUUAAAGUACUUAACAUGUAGCAACUGUCAACCAAUGAUGUUUCCCUUCCUUAGCUAAGGGAAAAGACCAUAUUGUAAUUUUUUGUGUGUUUUCAGAAUGCCUAAUUUAUAAUUUACAUUUGGAAAAAUGUGUUAAAAAUAUAUAAAAAUAAUAGUUCAAAGGAAAACUGUUCCUAUUCCCUUCACCUGCUCUGUAACGAACAGAUAUCUUUCUUUCCUCACUUCAAAUUUUGCAUGGGUUGAGACCAGUAUAAAACAAAGAGACUCUUACCUUAGCCUCAGCCUUUAGAAAUAUAACUUCCAUUGGGUAAUGAAAAAUUAAAUUAGAUUGGUUUGGUUUGGGUUGGGGUUUUGCAGCAGUGUGGCACUAAUGAUUCAUUUAAUAUAGUAAUGGCUCAUGUUUGGUGCCUAGUAGGUUUUCAGAUAAUUUGGAAUCCAUUCCCCUUUCAUGUUGAAAUUAUUAUCAAACUUUUGUUUCUAGGCAUGUUGCUAUUAAACAACAGCUGAUUUCCAAUAUGUAUAUUAACAUGUCAAUUUUGAGACAGUAUACAGAAUUGUAUUAUCUAUUUAAAUUUAAAUUUUAUUUUAUUCACAUUUUAUGUAUAGUUUAUAUUUAAAUUUCAUCUGCAAGACAUUUCUUAUUUCUGAAUAUAUUGUAUAAAUGAUGUAUUGUCUUAUUCUUCAAGUUUGAGAGCAUUCCUUCUACAUUUUCAUCCAAAUAUUUGACUGAACAGUAUAAAAAUGACUCAGUAGUCAUUAGUAACAUUAUGGUAGGAAUCAACUCACAUUUUUCAAGCUGUAGGAGCUAAAUCUUUAGAGAGUCAUUAACUGAUUUUAUGGAUUACAAC
rnacentral:lncRNA from 1 species